CAGUCGCCGCGGUAGUACGUAGGUGGCAAGCGCUGUCCGGAAUUAUUGGGCGUAAAGGGCUCGCAGGCGGUUUCUUAAGUCUGAUGUGAAGGCCCCCGGCUCAACCGGGGGGGGUCAUUGGAAACUGGGAAACUUGAGUGCAGAAGAGGAGAGUGGAAUUCCACGUGUAGCGGUGAAAUGCGUAGAGAUGUGGAGGAACACCAGUGGCGAAGGCGACUCUCUGGUCUGUAACUGACGCUGAGGAGCGAAAGCGUGGGGAGCGAACAGGAUUAGAUACCCCCGUAGUCCCUGUCUCUUAUAC
rnacentral:rRNA from 1 species